rnacentral:pre_miRNA from 1 species
UCUUAUGGAUGUGCAAAGAAAGUGGCUUCUUGAGAUGGAGUCUACUGCUGGUGAAGAUGCUGUGAA